GGCCCUGUGGUGUAGCCUGGUUUAACACACCGCCCUGUCAAGGCGGAGAUCGCCGGUUCAAAUCCGGUCGGGGUCGCCA
rnacentral:tRNA from 2 species